rnacentral:rRNA from 1 species
GAUGAACGCUGGCGGCGUGCCUAAUACAUGCAAGUCGAGCGAACAGACGAGGAGCUUGCUCCUCUGACGUUAGCGGCGGACGGGUGAGUAACACGUGGAUAACCUACCUAUAAGACUGGGAUCACUUCGGGAAACCGGCGCUAAUACCGUAUAAUAUAUUGAACCGCAUGGUUCAAUAGUGAAAGACGGUUUUGCUGUCACUUAUCGAUGGAUCCGCGCUGCAUUAGCUAGUUGGUAAGUUAACGGCUUACCAAGGCAACGAUGCGUAGCCGACCUGAGAGGGUGAUCGGCCACACUGGAACUGAGACACGGUCCAGACUCCUAAGGGAGGCAGCAGUAGGGAAUCUUCCGCAAUGGGCGAAAGCUUGACGGAGCAACGCCGCGUGAGUGAUGAAGGUCUUCGGAUCGUAAAACUCUGUUAUUAGGGAAGAACAAAUGUGUAAGUAACUAUGCACGUCUUGACGGUACCUAAUCAGAAAGCCACGGCUAACUACGUG